UGUGAAACGCCAACAACAGGAGAAAAGAACGAGUAGUAUACGUAAGUCAUUAAUUCGAUCAUGGAGAUGAACAGUUCAAGGAGAUCAAGAGGGUUCAAGAUAGCUAAGCUACUGCCCUUUUGCAAAGCUCUCAAGCCUCCAACUGCCUCCCAAGACCUUUACAAUAAUGUUCACUACACUUCCUCCACCACAACUUCCUACGCUCCUCAACCUGAUUUCAAUAACUACGUAACUCCUCUUCCUCCUAAAGUUAGCUUCCUCCUUCAACCAUCCGUGGCUCAUGAGGGGGAGGAUAUGGACAAGAAGCUUAACAAGAUGAGAGAAAAGCUGAUCGGCAGAGGGAUUAAUGGUAUGGAAGAUUGUGUUGACGCUAGAGCCGCUUCUUAUAUAUCUUCGGUUCGAGAAAGGUUCAAGCUGGACCAUUGUGAGAGACUGACGACGACUGUUGUUAGCUUAGAUCAUGAAGAUGUUGACCGUUAGAAUUUAGGUGACCUAUAAAUCUGUCAGAACACGUCAGAAAAAAAAACACUCGCCACAAAAGCUUAAAGCCAAUCGUCAAGUUAAAUACAAGUUUCGUUGGGUGGUUAUGACAGCCUUUUUAGGUUUUUACUGAUUUAAAGAGGGAAAAUUGAAACUUUAGUUCAUACGAGAUAUGAAGCAAUCAGAUUUGUGUACGUGAAUUAUGGGGGAAAGCAGAACACGUCAUUUGUUAUUUGCUGAAUAAAAAUAAAUAAUAAGAGGAAUUGGUCAAACCACUAAUUUGAUUGUAAUUAGCGAUGUGUUGACUCAUUAAUACAUACACUUCAAGGUUCA